rnacentral:rRNA from 1 species
AUGGUCGCCGCAAUGGCCAACUUCCUCGACUACGGCAUCUACGACCUCAAGCUCACGAUGGUCAAGAAUAACACCGAAUUGCGGAAGCUCUUCAUCGAGACCACAGGCAAGUCCAUCAUCGUCAUAGAGGACAUUGACUGCUUUGUCAACCUCACCGGAAAACGCCGAAAGGACAAGAAGACCGCAAGCGACAAGGACGCCAACAAUGAUGACAAGCCCGAGCUACCCGUGGAGCCGAAGAAGGAUGAUGUCACCAAGGUGACGCUCUCAGGCCUGCUUAACUUCAUCGACGGGCAGUGGUCUUCUUGCGGAGGUGAGCGGAUCAUCAUCUUCACCACCAACCACAAGGAGAAGCUGGACUCGGUGUUGAUCCGGAGGGGUAGAGUGACAAGCACAUCAAGAUGUCCUACUACCGAUUCGAGGGCUUCAAGGUGCUCGCCAUAA